CAGCUCCUUUUCCUGCUCCAUACCCUUCCUCGCAAUCGGGGACGAAGAAAUAUUUUCGGCAAUUUAUAAUCGCUAAAUCAGUCCGGGGAACAAGCCUUCAAAUUAACAUUGAUAUGGGCAAUUUGUGAUUAGGAUCAGUUGAUAUGCGAUCAGAAUGUCCUAGCUAAAAUCUUCCUGCAUAUUUCACCUCUCACUUGGCACUGAUGAACGAGUUUCAUGAUCGUUGCGAAAUAGUACGUUAAAGUACGUUAGAAUCUGCGAUCGCCAGCGAACUUCAAGUUAACUCCUUUAUCAAACCGUCGGUAAUUCAUGUGCGACCCGAUCCGAGCGGCAGGCAAAACGCAACUGAGGGCGGAACGGGAUGAGAAGUUUACUGCUGAGUGUUUACGAAAACAUAUGAUCGCAGACGAGAAACCGAACAGAAUGAACUCCGAAAAGGCCGAGCCGAAGGAUCCUCGCAAGCAAACGUCAAGGAUAAUUGCAGCGCAGUCGGCAGAGCAGCAAACGAGUUAUCAUCAAGCGGAAGUCAUGCUGAGCGCGAAAGAACAAAGAGCCACUGAAAUUAUAAUUUAUGAGUUGAGAAAAUGGGAUGAUGAGUCUCACACCGAUUGUCAGUGACAGGAA